rnacentral:lncRNA from 10 species
GCUCUGACUUGGAGUUAACAUUUUGUUUCUUUCAGCUGGAACUUUAAUUUAUUUUUAUGGAUAUUGGUAAAAUGUGUUUUUUUAAAUAUCUGCAGUGUUUUCCUGGUGCAGUAGUAGCGUAUUUUCCCCCUACCGGUUCUGUGUGGUUGAAAUGGAAGGGUGGCUUUUUCAUUUAAUUCAGUCUUUCAUACUAACAAAAACACUCUUAUUUGUUCUUCAUUUAUCUUUGUUGUGAUCCCAGGCUCCAGGGGUCAGGCUUUGAGUUGUCAGGUGGUAAUUUGUUGGAGCAAUUUUAGAGAACACGCAUGAAUUGAUACUGUUGUGUCUGGUGUCUGGUGGCCCAGCUUGAUGGAUCCUGAAGCACAAGCUCAUUUCCUGAUAACUCCAUCAUUCCUAUUUUCUCUCAACAUUAUAGAAGGGUACCUAAUGACAGAAUAUAUCCCUCUUGCGUUUUGUGGCUAAAGCUAUUUGGGUGUAAUUGCCAAAGGUAUUCACUCUACCUGAAAGGGUGAGAGCCAAGAAAAAGAAGUGCCUAGCUGUGAGGAAGUUCAGAACAUGAUAAAAUAUACCUCUUAGUACAUAGAGAGAGCAUCACAUGGAGCCCUGGACAUUUCUGUUUGUUGAUGCUCCUAUUCUGCCACAUGUGCUAAUCCUCUACCCUUACGGGAUCAUCGUCCAUCCUGCUUCAGCCAGUUUGGACCACCAUUCUGUAACAUGCCAUCAUGAGAAUCAGAAUGUUGAGGAGUCUUCAUCGAGGAUUGUUAACAAACAUUUGUGGAACAGGUGGAAAAAUUGAGAGAGACCUAAAAUUUUAUCCCUACCGGAGUCCUGGAGUGGAUGGAAUUCUUGAAAUCCUUGAAGACAAAAAUGUCAAAGUAUAGAAGUGGUGGAAGUGUUCCAAUUUGAAGAAAAAAAAAAUGUUCUGAGUGAUGUUUUUGAGGCAAGAGAGAGGCAGUGGCUUCGUGGCUUCAGUAAUUGGUGGGAUGUGAGCCAUGUAAGGUAUCAGGUAAUAAAGGCUGAAUGAGCUGGUAAGAGAGACCGAAUUUCAGUUGUCAGGCUUCCAGCCUCAGCCAAGUCAUGACUUCCCAAGCUUGACAGAGUCAGCAAAACCUCUCUCAAUGAGAAUAUCAGGAGUGACCACUAUUCACUAAGAAAAGGGCUUGUCAUUGGAUGUGUUUAAUCUCAUGAGAAUCUUCUAACUCUGGAGAGGAAGAAGUUCCUUCUUAACAGGUCUAGAGUUGGAUUUUCCCUUGAGUGGAAAAUUUAAACCUUAAAAUAGAUAAUCCAGUAUAAAGAAUACAUUUUAAAAAAUGAACAAGAUACUUUUUACAUUUUAUUGACUGAAGUUCAUCCCCAUUAUAUAUGAAAACAGAAAAAGUAUAACUCAGUGUGAUAGGGGUUAUAAUACCUGAAUGCAUAAAACAUUUGCAAUUAUGGAAGAGCUCUGUCUAAAUAAGUAGGAGGCUGGACAUGUCCUCCAGAAGGAAAUAACAUAUCUGAGCUUUAAAAAGUAUGAGAUAAAGAGAAAUCAUGGUAGAAAUAGAGGUAGUGAAGUAGGGAAAAGAGGUGUGUGGAUCUGAUUUUCUUAUAUUUACAGGUGUGGACAUAAAAGUUCAAAAAGGUGUGACAAGAAGACAUGGCUAAAUGGUGACAUUAGGAUUGGCAUUCCAUGUUUAUGAGUUUUUCAGAAUAGACUCUGUCUAGAGAUAAUCAUUACAUAAACAGAUACUCCCUUAACCACUUUCUUUUUUAAAAGAAAGAUUUUGAAAAGUUUAAGUGUUGAAGGCUAACAUGAAUUUCUUAUUAAUAUGUACCAGUGGGAGAUAUUGUCUUAUCAAUAAACAUGUUAAUUGGGCUUAGUUGACAGUUGAGAGAGAAAGUUAUAUAAUAGGGGUCACAAACUUGAAAGCUACAGGGCCAUGCUGUUAAUGUAAAUGAGAGAAACAACCUAAAUCCAAGCAUAAUACAAAAGAGGCUGGAAGAGCUUCUGAGAACUGGGGACCAUCUAACCUUUCUAGAGGGGUAGCUUCUAUUCAGCCCUUACCAAUUACUGUCAUGCCAAAAGACAAAGUUAACAGUGCUACAGUUUCAAAUUGCUUCUGAGAAAAGCUGCAAAUGUAGAUUUAAGUAUUGAUAAUGGUUGCACUAGGCAAAACAUCUAAGAAAUAGAGCCAACAGUUUAUGCACUAUGCUGUAAAACAAUAGAAUAUGAUAUAAUUCUCAUGAGUUGGGGAAGGUGAUUAAAGAGUUCAGAGUUAGGUAAGCAAAGGGGAAGUAAUCUGAGAGAGAGGUAUUGAUAAGGAGAAAGGAUAGCGAACAAAAUAAACUUUAUAAACUCUAAAAAUGUGUCCAGUGUUGAAACUGCUUAGAAAAAAAGUCUAUUAUAGCAUUCGAUGCAACUCAAGUUUUCUCUACCAACUUGUCAAUGGAUCACCUUGCAAUUCUGUUGAAUAAGUGACAGUAAAAUCUAUUUCAUCUCUGAUCAAAUCUAAACACAGUGACUGUUAAAGUGCUUUCUAGGAGCUAUCUCUUCCUCUGAAAACAACAGAACUGGAGUAUUUCAUCUACCAAAAUUUCUUAAAUGCUAAAUAUUUAUUGUGUGUGCCUGAAUAUGUGUGUGUAUCCACACGUGCACAUGUGUUUAGCUUUCAUUCCCACUCCUCUUGGUCAAAUUUAACCAUAUGUUUAUGCAUAUAAAAUAAUAUAUCUUAUCUCUUACUAUGUUGUGACUAC